CCUGGCUCAGGACGAACGCUGGCGGCGUGCCUAACACAUGCAAGUCGAACGAAGCUCCCGAUCUGAUCCUUCGGGUGAAGAGAAGGAAGACUUAGUGGCGGACGGGUGAGUAACGCGUGAGCAACCUGCCUUUCAGAGGGGGAUAACAGUUGGAAACGACUGCUAAUACCGCAUAACAUAUUGAUGUCGCAUGGCAUUGAUAUCAAAGCUGAGGCGCUGAAAGAUGGGCUCGCGUCCGAUUAGAUAGUUGGUGGGGUAACGGCCUACCAAGUCGACGAUCGGUAGCCGGACUGAGAGGUUGAACGGCCACAUUGGGACUGAGACACGGCCCAGACUCCUACGGGAGGCAGCAGUGGGGGAUAUUGCACAAUGGGCGAAAGCCUGAUGCAGCAACGCCGCGUGAGGGAAGACGGUUUUCGGAUUGUAAACCUCUGUCUUUGGUGAAGAAGAAAGUGACGGUAGCCAAGGAGGAAGCCACGGCUAACUACGUGCC
rnacentral:rRNA from 1 species